CAAGGGCUGACGACGGGUAGCUCGGUCUGAGAGGAUGACCAGGCACACUGGAAACUGAGACACGGUCCAGACUCUACGGGUGGCAGCAGUGGGGAUUUUUCUCAAUGGGCGAAGCCUGAUGGAGCGACGCCGCGUGGGGGAUGAAGGCCUUCGGGUUGUAAACCCCUGUCAUUUGGGAACAAGCGCUAGUGACUAACCCUGCAGAAGAUGAUCGGGCCAAAUAAGGGACGGCCGGCUCACUCGGUGCCAGCAGCCGCGGCCGA
rnacentral:rRNA from 1 species